rnacentral:misc_RNA from 1 species
UUAUCAAAGAAUUGUUCAGAGAGAAAGAUCGAGCUUGAAAGACGCUGAUACGCAAAGAUCUUGAUUAAAACACCAUUUUGUUAUUUACAAGUCCACCAAAGCAAAGCCCUCCCUCCCAUCAUGAAGGUACUGAGAUCAAAACUUACAACAUUAGCAAGGGGCUUAUCCUAUUCAACCAUGCAAUAACUUCGAAGGACCAAAAUGCGUCUCCUGCAUAUAGAACUAUUUCCCUUUAUAGACCUCCGGACGAAAACAUCCCACGCUCAAUAACUCCGUAAUUGGGCAUCUUGACUUGAUGAGGGAACAUAAAAAACAGGAGUUUCGCUGUGGACGCUAAUGGAACCAUCCUAGUUCUUGUC